GAGUUUUCAACUCCCAAACCCAAGUGAACAUACCACUGUUGCUUCGGCGGACCGCCCCGGGUGCUGCGUGCCCCGGAACCAGGCGCCCGCCGGAGGCCUAAACUCUUGUUUUUACCAUGAAUCUUCUGAGUAGCGCAAGCAAAAAAAAUAAAUCAAAACUUUCAACAACGGAUCUCUUGGUUCU
rnacentral:misc_RNA from 1 species